GAGCAAUUCUCUGCUAAGCCUGGAGUUCAAAGGAGGCCGGCGGCCGCCUAGUGGGGCCCGGAUGUCACUGCAUCAACUGCAUCGCUCCCUCCUCCCUUGCUCAGGGAUGAGCUGGGAAUUUGAGUGCAGAGUUUGGCUCACUGCAAAAUCCAAAAAUACCAGAGUGAGGGAGGCCUUGGAAAUUCAAUGCUCUCAUUUAACAAGCCAAGUCUGAGCCUCGGCUGAUCCUGGAAGCCAACCAGAGUCUUC
rnacentral:lncRNA from 1 species